CGUUCCACAGGGAUGCUGGUCCAUGUCGACUCUACAAGGUGUCUAAAGCGUUCCACAGGGAUGCUGGCCCAUGUUGAGUCUACAAGGUGUCUAAAGCGUUCCACAGGGAUGCUGGCCCAUGUUGACUCUACAAGGUGUCUAAAGCGUUCCACAGGGAUGCUGGUCCAUGUUGACUCUACAAGGUGUGGAAAGCGUUCCACAGGGAUGCUGGCCCAUGUCGACUCUACAAGGUGUCUAAAGCGUUCCACAGGGAUGCUGGCCCAUGUUGACUCUACAAGGUGUCUAAAGCGUUCCACAGGGAUGCUGGCCCAUGUUGACUCUACAAGGUGUCUAAAGCGUUCCACAGGGAUGCUGGUCCAUGUUGACUCUACAAGGUGUCUAAAGCGUUCCACAGGGAUGCUGGUCCAUGUUGACUCUACAAGGUGUCUAAAGCGUUCCACAGGGAUGCUGGUCCAUGUUGACUCUACAAGGUGUCUAAAGCGUUCCACAGGGAUGCUGGCCCAUGUUGACUCUACAAGGUGUCUAAAGCGUUCCACAGGGAUGCUGGCCCAUGUUGACUCUACAAGGUGUCUAAAGCGUUCCACAGGGAUGCUGGUCCAUGUUGACUCUACAAGGUGUCUAAAGCGUUCCACAGGGAUGCUGGUCCAUGUUGACUCUACAAGGUGUUGAAAGCGUUCCACAGGGAUGCUGGCCCAUGUUGACUCUACAAGGUGUCUAAAGCGUUCCACAGGGAUGCUGGUCCAUGUUGACUCUACAAGGUGUCUAAAGUGUUCCACAGGGAUGCUGGCCCAUGUUGACUCUACAAGGUGUCUAAAGCGUUCCACAGGGAUGCUGGUCCAUGUUGACUCUACAAGGUGUCUAAAGCGUUCCACAGGGAUGCUGGUCCAUGU